UACAGAGGUCUCAACCGUUGUCCGGAAUCACUGGGCGUAAAGGGUGCGUAGGCGGGUUUUUAAGUCAGGGGUGAAAUCCUGGAGCUCAACCCCAGAACUGCCUUUGAUACUGAAGAUCUUGAGUCCGGGAGAGGUGAGUGGAACUGCGAGUGUAGAGGUGAAAUUCGUAGAUAUUCGCAAGAACACCAGUGGCGAAGGCGGCUCACUGGCCCGGUACUGACGCUGAGGCACGAAAGCGUGGGGAGCAAACAGG
rnacentral:rRNA from 1 species